UACGGGGGGGGCAAGCGGUUGUUCGGAAUUACUGGGCGUAAAGGGCUCGUAGGUGGCCAACUAAGUCAGACGUGAAAUCCCUCGGACUUAACCGGGGAACUGCGUCUGAUACUGGAUGGCUUGAGUUCGGGAGAGGGAUGCGGAAUUCCAGGUGUAGCGGUGAAAUGCGCAGAUAUCAGGAGGAACACCAAUGGCGAAGGCAGC
rnacentral:rRNA from 1 species